rnacentral:rRNA from 1 species
UACGAAGGGGACUAGCGUUGCUCGGAAUGACUGGGCGUAAAGGGCGCGUAGGCGGAGUGCUUUGUCGGGCGUGAAAUUCCAGGGCUCAACCUUGGGGCUGCGUUCGAGACGGGCAUUCUAGAGUGGAGAAGAGGGUCGUGGAAUUCCCAGUGUAGAGGUGAAAUUCGUAGAUAUUGGGAAGAACACCGGUGGCGAAGGCGGCGACCUGGUCUUUUACUGACGCUGAGGCGCGAAAGCGUGGGGAGCAAACAGG